GUGGGGAAUAUUGGACAAUGGGCGAAAGCCUGAUCCAGCCAUGCCGCGUGUGUGAAGAAGGUCUUCGGAUUGUAAAGCACUUUAAGUUGGGAGGAAGGGCAGUAAGUUAAUACCUUGCUGUUUUGACGUUACCGACAGAAUAAGCACCGGCUAACUUCGUGCCAGCAGCCGCGGUAAUACAGAGGGUGCAAGCGUUAAUCGGAAUUACUGGGCGUAAAGCGCGCGUAGGUGGUUUUGUAGGUUGGAGGUGAAAUCCCCGGGCUCAACCUGGGAACUGCCCCCAAAACUGCAUAGCUAGAGUACGGUAGAGGGUAGUGGAAUUUCCUGUGUAGCGGUGAAAUGCGUAGAUAUAGGAAGGAACACCAGUGGCGAAGGCGACUACCUGGACUGAUACUGACACUGAGGUGCGAAAGCGUGGGGAGCAAACAGGAUUAGAUACCCUUGUAGUCC
rnacentral:rRNA from 1 species